UUACGCCUACGGGGCGCAGCAGUAGGGAAUCUUCCACAAUGGACGAAAGUCUGAUGGAGCAACGCCGCGUGAGUGAAGAAGGGUUUCGGCUCGUAAAGCUCUGUUGGUAGUGAAGAAAGAUAGAGGUAGUAACUGGCCUUUAUUUGACGGUAAUUACUUAGAAAGUCACGGCUAAAUACGUGCCAGCAGCCGCGGUAAUACGGAGGUGGCAAGCGUUGUCCGGAUUUAUUGGGCGUAAAG
rnacentral:rRNA from 1 species